GUCUGAGGUGCUGAGGACUCAGGAUUGAGGGAUGGAAGAUAAGAGGUCACAGUUUCCACGGGCUGUAAGCACAGAGCCGGUGCUGGCUGCGCCGUGUUUCCCCUCUGGAGCAGCAGAGGCACAGCACAGGGAACUCGGAGGUUUCUUUCUGAGCUGCUUAAUCUAAAUACACCAUGAGUCACUCCGUGUGUAUUGGCUCUGUGCAGGUCUGCACUGAGAGAAUGUAAUUCCUACAGGACCAGAGCAUAAAGUACCCGAAACCAGAGAUUGGUUUCUCUGAAACUGGAGGUGUGCUGGCUGCUGAAUGCAGAAAAACUGCAGUUCUUGCAUUGCUGGAAGAGAAAUGCAGACUCAGAAUUCCUGAAGUGGUGGGACAAGAGAGACAAGAGGUCAAUUAGUGCACAAAGAUUGUCAGUCAGGAUAAGUCCCACACAAGUCAUUAUCGCAUUGCAACCUGAGACUGGAAAUGCCUGAGGGCGGGAGGCGUUUCUCGGAGUGGAGCUCAGCCAUCCUGCAGAGCAGGGCACGGCUCCAAGGCUGCGGAAACAGCACAACAAUGACCGGCUGCCUUCUGCUAUCUCUGCUAAAGUUCUCCAUUGUUUUCAAGGAAAGCUGGUUUACGUCUCUCUGCAGAUUGCCUCGUUUGGCCCCUUCACCCAACAUGGCUGGAAGGGAGAUUAAUAUAAAUUGUGAAAUACAUAAUUCUGCAUUGUCCCUGUUGCACCAAAGGAGAGGUGAUUUUUAGAGCGUGUUAGGAAUGUGAAGUUUGGCACAGCCAGUGUGAGGCAUUCUCUUUCAGACCUUUUUCAGGCACUGCAAGUUGCUCAUAGGUCAAAAAGCCAAUCAUACAUUGAUAGAAUCCAUGUGUUUUUGAUGACCACAGUACAUGCUGCUCAUAAAAGCUGGUUCAACAAAAUUUCUGGUGCCUUUCCUGGCUAUAAUUACAAAAAAGCAGCAUUGUUUAAUUGAGUAAGCAUAUUAGUGGAGUUCCUAAAUGAAUCUACAAACAGAUUUUCCUGAAAAGUCUCUUCUUUAAUUCAUAUUUCUCUGGGUGUUCUCCCACAUUUAACAAGAUUUUUCAUGGAAGCUUUCUUACAGACAUUUGCUACCAAUAUAUUGCAGCACCAGCAGAGAGCUGACUGACUUGAACAAGAUACAAUCACCUCUUUAUAAUGACAUGCAUGAUUACCCCUGCAAAUCAUGCAAUUAUGAUAAAGAUUUCAAAGGAAGGAAGAUAAUUUAUUUAUGCACUGUCCAGAAACAUUCAGUCUCUUGUGGAGCAAAACCUGAAUCUCAAUAUGGAAGACUUUAGAGUAACUGUAACAAGACCAAUCACCUAACCAGGAAGGAAUCAAAGACUUUAUUAUUUAAGCAGUGCCAAGAGAAGUGCUACAAGGCACUGUGCUGCAGUACAGAGUUACAAUGUGCUAUAAAGGCUGCAUUUAUUUCAAUAUUAACAUCUUUAAAAAGCAGCAAAUUUUGUUUGUGAGACUGCAACCCUCGAGUUUCCAAGUGAUCUGGACCUUUCUAAUUCUUGUCAAGUAACAACAGCCAAGCCUUCUGUUUUUCAGCACAGCCAAAAAGCAAGCUUUAAACAUAAACAGCAUUAAAGCUUUGUCACUGAGUGGGAUUUGUAAUUCAGCACUAAGCCAACUAUUGAAUUUAUUUUUCCUAGCACCUAAAUGCCCCAUGGGGCUUAUAACACCCCUGAUGCUCGGUGCACCACAGCCCCAUGGCACAGAAGAUCUUACAGAACCCCAGCCAAGCAACAUGGGCUUGUUUUGUCUUCAUUCUCUGAGUACAGAUGGCAUUCAGUUCUGCUUAGUUAAAAUAAAUAUCAGAAUUUAAAUAUAACAGACACAUCCUCCAGACAAGUGAUUGCAUAAAUAUGCAAAGUCUGUGGCCUUGCUUUCAUAUUAAUUUUAACUGCAUCUCACUUACAUCAUCAGGCAAGGUUUUCUCCUUAUUAUCUUUCACUGCCUGUCUCAUUUCAGACAGCAAAGCCAACUCCAACACAUUCCCACUCUAUGAUAACACAACAUCCAUGGCUACCUCUCUGAUCAAUAGCAGAGCUCUGACAUGGUGUGCUUACCCCUCCAGCUGCCAGCAAGGAAAAGGAGAAGGUGAAUGAGAUGAAGAUUCAAAGGUUGUCAGUGCAUAAGCAGCAGAUACUGACUUCUGCUUUCCCUUUCUGUUCAAGGUAGAAAGAGCAUGCCCAGCUCUUCACAGCUCUCCCAUGAGAUUUCCAGCUCAGGACAUCUCAUUCAUCCUGUUUCCUGUGCCAGAGAGUGCUGAGUCUCAGCCAGGCAUCUGUUCUCCCUCCCUUGGAUGACAGGGGUCAGGUUGCCUGUGAUCACAGUUGAACUAUGCACACUAGAAAAAUAGGGGCUUUUAAAGUAUCCUUUGGUUUCUGUGCUCAAUAUUUGUUAAGGUUGUUUUCACCCAGUAGCUAAAGCACCACUGAAAAGCAUGGUGGAAAUGGCCAGUGAAUAAUUUUGUCCUUUGUCAUGUACAAGACCUUUUCUGAUUUGCCACAGGGAAACAUGCAAGGUUUCUGUGAAAGCAGAGGGUCAGGAUGGAGGCUGAGAUCAUCAGAUUUUUCAGUUGUACAGAGUUUACAGAGUUUACAGACUGCCUGACCCUCACCUUUGGAAAUGGAACUCUCAAUUGUUCCUACAGAAGUCAUUAGAACUUGUACUCCAGUGGCACCUAAAGGCAUCAGGAUCCAGAUUUUGUUAAAUGCAGUAUAAACUCCAAGUCUUUCCCUUAGGGAAUGUUUUCUCUCCAUCUUUCCUCACCCUCAUUGCAUAUUCUGCCCCAAGGCAGAAUGGAAGCAGUUAGUGGUAGCUGGAACAUGACUGCUGCCAUGAGAACACAUCUCACUGCAAACUGUGGGGAUGCCAAUACUGAUUUCUCUUCACAUUUACAAUUUCGUGGCAUUCAGCCACCCUCAGUAAUCGUUAAGUCCGAAUUGCAAAUUUGUCUCUGGUCUCCCCUCCUGCAAAUCAUCUCCCCAUCCAGUUUUAAUUCCUUCUAAUUGAUAGUGAGGUGAAAUUCCCAUUCCUGAGCACCCUAAUUUCAUUGUUAGUCUUGCUUCAAGCAGGGGGAUUAAGCUAGACACCUCCAGAGUUCCCUUCCAACUUGAGUUUUCCUUUGGUCCUACAUUUUAUAGGAGAUGCUGUAUUGAGUGACCAUGCCCAGAUGUUGUCAGUGGAGGAGCUGCAGGGGUGGUGUCUGUGAGAAGAGGCCAAGGACUCCCUGGUGUCACAGCCAGCUCCAGCCAGCUCCAAAAUGGACCCACCACAGGACACAACUGGGACAAUCAGCUACACUGGUGGCACCUCUGGGAAAACAGUUUAGAAAGGAUGAAAAAUCUACACAGCAGCUGAGAGGAGUGAGAAAAAGAUGAUAGAAGCAACACUGUAGACAGCAAGUUCAGUGAAGAAGGAGGGGAGGAGGUGUUCCAGGCACCAGGACAGAUUCCCUUGUAGCUCAUGGAGAAGACUAUGCAGGUUGUUUCCCUGGAGCCUAUGGAAGACCCCUCUGGAGGAGGUGGAUAAACCUUGAAGGAAGCUCUGGCCUGUGGAGAACCCACACCAGACAGCUCUGCAGCCUCUGGAGAGGAGCCCAUUCAGGAGCAGUUUUCUGGCAGGACCUGUGGCCUGUGGGGGACCUGUGUUGGAACAGUCUGUCCCUCAAGGUCUGUAUCCCAUGACAAGGACACACACUGCAGCAGUUCUUGAAGAGCCCAUGGGAAGGAGCCACCCUGGAGAAGUACAUGAAAGGGACUCCACACUGCAGCAGAGGAAGAGUGUGAGGAGGAAGGAGCAGCAGAGAGGAAGUGCCAUGGGCUGACCACAACCCCUAUUCUGCAUCCCCCUGCAUUGAACAGAGAGAGGCAGGGGUGUAGAAGAGUUCAGAAGAAAGAAGUGAAGUUGAGCCUAGGAAAUAGGGUAGAGUGAGAGCAAGGUGUUUUCAGCUGUAUCUUUUCUUCUCACUAUCCUGCUUUAUCUUUAAUUGGCAAUAUAUUAAAACAGUUUCCUCAAGUCUGUUUUGCCAUGAUGGUAACUGGUAAGGGAUCUGUCUGUCUUUAUCUUGACCUUGACCUUUUCCAUCUCAUUCCUGCCCCCAUCCUGUUGAGGAGGGAGAGGGAGAGCAACUGGGUGGUGUCUGUCAGCCAGCCAAGGUCAA